GCCUACGGGGGGCAGCAGUAGGGAAUUUUCGUCAAUGGGCGCAAGCCCGAACGAGCAAUGCCGCGUGAACGAGGAAGGUCUUCGGAUCGUAAAGUUCUGUUGAAGGGGAAAAAGAGCGGAGAGAGGAAAUGGUCUCCGAUUGAUAUUACCCUUCGAGGAAGUCACGGCUAACUACGUGCCAGCAGCCGCGGUAAUACGUAGGUGGCGAGCGUUAUCCGGAAUGAUUGGGCGUAAAGGGUGCGUAGGCGGCCUGCUAAGUCUGGAGUGAAAGGUACCGGCUCAACCGGUACAGGCUCUGGAAACUG
rnacentral:rRNA from 1 species